UGCCCCAUGACUGAGUUGGUUACAGCGUCCGACUGUUAUCAACCGAACUCGGUAACAUGUGCAUCGGAAGGUCGAGAGUUCGAGCCUCUCUGGGGCAG